AUAGCCAGGUCCGUCUGCUGCCAUAGUCUCACAACAGUCAGAGCCCAGUUCUCAACCUGAUGGCUUCCAUGAAGAGACAGCAGCUGCUCACUGGAUGUGCGGACUCACGCAGCUUUCAUAACCCUUGCCUCAAUUCCUCCUUUGUAGAGAUCAUGAUGGCAACCUCAUGUCCCUGUCUCACUGCGAAAGAGGUCAGUACACGAAGAGAACGGAGCGCAAAGCUUGGCACGGUGUGCUCGCUCUGUAUGUUUUCCCUGCAUCCGUAUAACAUCUCUCCCGGAUGCUGUUCCUCAAUGCCAGGAAGACCUUUAACCAAGAAAUGCUCAACACUCUUGCCGUGUGGGUAAGAUGGCUUGGCAGACAGAACUCAGAACAAGGAGUCAGGAGUUCUCAUUCUGUUUCCUGUUGGCUGAUAAUGGGCUCUUGGGACCUCUUCUUCACCUGUUAAAAAUAGAAGCAACUGCGACACCCUCCUCUGCACUCUCACAUCUCUUACUCGCCUUCCCAGUAUCUUGCAGCAUCCCUAUGGGCUGUUGUUACUAAGCACCAGCAAGAUUUGCACCCAAGAAAUACUAAGGCUCUUCUUAUAUAUGCAGCAAUAGCUUCAAGGACAAAACCCAGGUUGAAGUCGGUUGGAAUAGCCAGGCAGUGCAGAGCAAAACUCAGCAAUUUGGAAGCCGAGGCCAGUUUCCUGAGGUCCUGUGGCUACUCAGAGGAUGAUCUUUUGGUCGAAUCAGCAUCCUUUCUGUGGUAUAGAAGGGGUUUGGUUUGGAUUCUC
rnacentral:lncRNA from 1 species